rnacentral:rRNA from 1 species
ACCUACGGGGCGCAGCAGUGGGGGAUAUUGCACAAUGGGGGGAACCCUGAUGCAGCGACGCCGCGUGAACGAAGAAAUAUUUCGGUAUGUAAAGUUCUAUCAGCAGGGAAGAAAAUGACAGUACCUGACCAAGAAGCCCCGGCUAACUACGUGCCAGCAGCCGCGGUAAUACGUAGGGGGCAAGCGUUAUCAGGAUUUACUGGGUGUAAAGGGAGCGUAGACGGAAAGGCAAGUCAGAAGUGAAAGCCCAAGGCUCAACCAUGGGACUGCUUUUGAAACUGUCAAACUAGAGUACGGGAGAGGUA